UACGUAGGGUGCAAGCGUUAUUCGGAAUUACUGGGCGUAAAGCGUGCGUAGGUGGUUUGUUAAGUCUGAUGUGAAAGCCCUGGGCUCAACCUGGGAAUUGCAUUGGAUACUGGCAAGCUAGAGUGCGGUAGAGGAUGGCGGAAUUCCCGGUGUAGCAGUGAAAUGCGUAGAGAUCGGGAGGAACAUCUGUGGCGAAGGCGGCCAUCUGGACCAGCACUGACACUGAGGCACGAAAGCGUGGGGAGCAAACAGG
rnacentral:rRNA from 1 species